AGAGAAACUUCUCUAUACAUACAGGAAUUUGACAACAGUUUGUGCCACUUAUGGAUUUAAAGAACUGGCACCUUGAAUGGGAUUCUGAAUAGAAUUCGUACAGAUGGAAUGUAAAUAUCACCCUGAACUGAAUUGGCCCUCAUCCUGUCCAGCCAAUCUGGAAAUGUCUGGUUUGUCUCCUGGGAGCACUCCCCAAAGAACCUUCUACACACAGUUCUCCAACUCAAAGUCUGUUUUCAGGGAAUCCAAUUCAAGACAGGGAUAGUUGGAAGUCACAACCGUUCCAUGGACUUUGAUGUUCUUGAUAUUCAUUCUUGGUAUUGGCAUUAUGAGUUGUGACACUAGGAGGAGUCUCCAAGUGACUUUGAAAUGAGAAGACAGGAACAAAGAGGUGUCAUACAUCCCUCACAGAUGGUCAGAAAUAUCUAAAGAGUUUUUGCCAAAGAGAUAGGGUCCUGAAUGGGCAGCAGGGUUAAGAGAAAAAUGUGUAGUUAUUAAUGUUAAUGAGACAUCCUUUGCUACAAGAUGAUGGUGAGGUCUCAAGGAGAUCUAGGUUAUAUUUACAAGGGAUCACUCCAAUUACUACAUGUCCGUCUUUUCUAAAAUUAGACUUUAUUGUGCUCUAUUAAAAUAGCUUUAUCUUUAGAAGAGAGUUUCUCAAAAUGUGAUUUGGGG
rnacentral:lncRNA from 10 species